ensembl:lncRNA
AGCGUCUGAGCGCUGCGAGGGGGAACGCGCGCUCCUCCCCGGCCGUCAGAAACCUGCGGGCAGCGCUGCGCUCCCGUUCCUGCUCUAAGAACCGCCGCGGGGGCCUUCCGCGGGGCGAAACCACCGCAUCCAGCCUGGCACGGCCCCCGGCACCGCCUUCCCCUCUGCUUUUGGCUUCGGCUUUUUUGUUGUUUCCAUCUCCAGCACGGCCGGCAACGGGAGUCCCAUUGGAGACAGUGUUCGCGAGGGAGAGUCUGAACCGAAGGUGCAAUUUACGUAUAUACACACACAUGUAUAUAUAAUAGCAUCUUCUAUACACGCACGAAGUGUAUAAAUAUACAUAUACACUCACACAUAUAUAUACACUCACAUAUAUAUAUGCGUACGUAUGUAUAUGGAAGUAUAUAUACACCGUGUAUAUAUGUGUAUAUAUACAAUAUAUAUAUAUUGUGUGUAUAUAUAUGUAUAUAAGGAUAUAUACACGCACGGAAGUUGCAGUCUGACUUCAGCAAAGCCCCUCUGUUGCUCCAAGCCGACGGAUUUCCCAUUGCCGUUCCGUGAGCAGCGGCACAAUUUGGGGGCUCCGUUGCUGCUCCUCUGGAAGCAUCGGGAUCUGUGCCGGGGGCCGCCCGCCCCGUCCUGUAUGGAAACUGGAGUGUCAUUCGAUCGAUGGCGGAAAAAAAGAGGAGAGAAAGAAAAGAAGAAGCGAAUAGAAACAAACCAAAGCCGCCGCAUCGCAGCGGGGGGAUCUCAGGGCUGGCUGAGAACCCGUUAUUAAACUCAUCAGAGUGAUAAUGAAGAAGUGCGGAUGCGGAGGGACACCUCGCCCUUCCCCCGCCCCACCGCUCCCCCUUAUUUUGUACUCCUUUUCUCUUUCCUUCCCCCCUUAUCCCACCCCAAAGCGCUGCCGGCCCCGCGCAGAUCCCCUCUCGAUCUCCGCCGUUCCCGUCCCGUCCCCGCGGCACCGUUUGUCCGUUCGCUGCGCGAAGGAUCGGCGCUUUUCGAUUGCUUUAGGAACGCGUCGGUCUUCGUGGUACCGACACAUCGAAUUUAUUGCUAAUUACUGGACGACGUCGGGAUCGGAAAGUGCCAAAAGACUCUCGGGGCCGGGAGGCUGCACUGUGCCGCCCCAUCGCCACCUUCGGCGUGUCGUAAAGGCUCACAGAUGAGUGCAUCUGGAGGUGCGAACUGCUCCGUUUCAGCCCCGGUUGGAUGGAUGCGAGUGCAGCCGGGCGUGCGUAGGGGCUGCCUUUGUUCCUCCGUUUAUCACCCUCGAUGAUAAAACUCGGGGAAGAAAUUAAAGCUUUAGCUUUAGC